CUCUGCCUCAACAGGAAAGCCCCCACUCUCUGUGGAGGAUGAUUUUGAGAAACUAACAUGGGAGAUUUCAGGAGGCAAAUUGGAAGCUGAGAUUGACCUGGAUCCUGGGAAAGAUGAAGAUGACCUUCCGCUUGAGCUAUGAGAAAUGAUUGAUAGCUGAAGGUGGUAGUGAGGACACUUUAAAAAAAAAUCGCCAAAAAACUGGACUUAGUUUCAUCUAUUGUAACAUUUACCUGAGAUGAUCAUUUCUUUAGUCUAGAAUUUGCCCCAAAUCAGAAGUAUACCUCUGAAUUAUCUGUAUGUGUCCUGGAUUCCUUGGGGUCAGAUUUUUAAAGUUACUUUAUAACCAUUUUGUCCAUUUGAUGCCAUUGUUUAUCAUCUUUUGAGAAAAAAGUUCUGUCAUACCCUUCUCUCCACAAAAAAGAGACUGAGGGGGAGAUCAAGUGAAAGGGUGCAAGCAAACUUAGUGACUCCUUGAGGUGUUUGUCAGUUUUGGCUUUUUUCUCCUUUGUUGUAUUCUUUAUGUAUUGUCUUAAUGUACUUAAUAUUACCUGAGUUUGAAAUGGAUGAAGACAGCUGCUACCAUUAAGGGCCAAAUUUUAUGCUACCACUAAACAAAAAUACCCACUCAGUCUGUGUUAAAUUGUAUGUCUUUUUAAAGGUAUUUAGAGAUUCAACUAAGCUUUAAAGAGGGCUGAGCAACUCAGGAAGCCUGUAAUGUGGGCAUAACUCUUUGGACCUGAUCUUGAUGCUUCUGCUGCUCUGUUGGCCUCUGAAGAGCAAUAUCUAAUUUAUUAUUACUGUAAUUUUUUAAAAGGCUUUAAAGUGCCUCAGGGGUCCCCUGAAACUAAUUUUCUAUUUCUGGGAUUCCCUGGAUUCAUUAUAUGAGAUGGUGACAUGAUUAGAGGAAUUCUUUUUUAGUAUGAAAAUUGUUCCUUUUCUUCUUCAGUACUUGCCUCCUUGCUGGCAUUGAAUUAACACAGGGACAAAAUUUGGUUAAUUUUUUAUUUCUAAUUCUCCCAACAAACCCCUGUUGCCCAGUAUUUAUGUGGUGGCCUUUAACCACCUGAGGGAAAAAAUGAGCUUAUUCAAGCUGCCAAUAUUUAUCUAUGGGCUGUAGCAGUACACUGAAUUGUACUGUGCCAGGGAUAUUGAGAUGCUCUGGGGGUGUAUUGUAUACCUGCCAGUUUUCUUCAUUUCUGAAUUGGGUUUUCUCUUCUUGAUGUUGGUUUCCUUCAUAUCACCUCAAGGUUUAGAUUUGUGAAGGAAUAAGCAUGAUGGAAAUAAUAGUCUUGAAAGGAGAUAUGUUGUAUAUAAUCAGGAGGAAGAGGAAGGCAGGACUUACUCAUUUUGAUAUUUUGCUGUAGGUGGCCAGUUUUGUUUCUCAUAGGGAAAUCUGACCCACCUGUCAUGUUGGCUCCUAAGGAACUGCUGUUGUAAGCGGCUCAUCAAGAGUUGAACUUCAAGUAGCCUUGUUGGGAAUAUGGAAAAGGAAGAAAGCCACAGGACUGCCCAUUCAGUCUUGUUAAGAUUGGGAUGAUUCUGCACAAGCAAAAAUGACUCGAAAUUUAUGUAUCGACACACCUCUACCAAUCCAUCUUCAGCUGACUGAAUGUUGUAUGAUAGCCCUUCUCCAAAGCAGGGGUAGAAUGUUCAGGUUUCACCACGGAUUUUCUACUUAUUUCGCUUUUGGAAUCAGCUUACAGAUUCCAGGUCCCUUUUGUAUAUAUUCUUUAUUCUUUUGCUUUUUUAAAAAAUAAACUUGUAUUAGUCAAUGUUUCGUGUUCCGCAUUAUUUGAACCAUUUGCCCUUACAGAAAGAGAAAU
rnacentral:lncRNA from 1 species